rfam:Gossypium arboreum cultivar AKA8401 contig_42_13, whole genome shotgun sequence.
UGUUAAAAAUUUCAUCUAUUUGCACGGUUAAAAAUUAGCGUAGUUAAUGGAAUAACUAAAUAGUAAUAUGUGAUGUGCCACAUGUACCUCAUACUGAUGUAUAUGGACUAAUUUCUAACACCAGAAAUAGAUGAAAUUCUUAACA